rnacentral:lncRNA from 1 species
ACUAAGGGCUAAGUUUCUCCACCAGCGGGAGGGCCACUGUGUGGUGUCACGACUGCCCCAGGGAGGGGUUCUGGCUUGGGGCCAGCUUUGCCUUCUUCCCUGCAGCUGUGGUGGGGUGGGUGCCACCAGACGCCCCUGCAUCUGUACGGCAGAAGGGCCUGUCCUCGCCGCAGACAGCACGGAGGGUGGGGGCAGCAGAUGCCUCCCCCGUGGGUGCCUCUUGUCCAGCGUGGGCAGAGAGGAGCAGGCUGAGCUGUCCCGGGCUGAGCGGGGAGCGGCGGCUGCCCAUGUUGCUGGGGUCGAGUGCCUGGUGCUCACACCCCAUCCCCGCCUCCCUACAGGGGCUUCGCCCUCUACAACGCUGCCAACCUCAAGAGCAUUGACUUUCACCGCAGGAUAGAGGAGAAGUCCCUGGCCCAGCUGAAAAGACAGAUGGAGCGUAUCCGUGCCAAGCAGGAGAAGCACAGGCAGGGCCGGGUGGACCGCAGUCGCCCCCAGGACACCCUGGGCCCCAAGGACCCCGGCCUGGAGCCAGUCAUCCACUCCGGGGACUACUUCCU